rnacentral:rRNA from 1 species
CAGAGGGUGCAAACGUUGUUCGGAAUUACUGGGCGUAAAGCGCGUGUAGGCGGCCCUGCAAGUCGGGUGUGAAAUCCCACGGCUCAACCGUGGAAGUGCACUCGAAACUGCAGGGCUAGAGUCCUGGAGAGGAAAGUGGAAUGCUUGGUGUAGAGGUGAAAUUCGUAGAUAUCAAGCGGAACACCGGUGGCGAAGGCGGCCUUCUGGACAGUGACUGACGCUGAGACGCGAAAGCGUGGGGAGCAAACAGGAUUAGAUACCCUGGUAGUCCACGCCGUAAACGAUGAGUGCUAGGUGUCACGGGCUUUGACCCUCGUGGUGCCGAAGCUAACGCGUUAAGCACUCCGCCUGGGGAGUACGGUCGCAAGACUA